GAUGAAGAACGUAGCGAAAUGCGAUAAGUAAUGUGAAUUGCAGAAUUCAGUGAAUCAUCGAAUCUUUGAACGCACAUUGCGCCCCCUGGUAUUCCGGGGGGCAUGCCUGUUCGAGCGUCAUUACACCACUCAAGCCUCGCUUGGUAUUGGGCGCCGCGCCUCGGCGCGCGCCUCAAUGUAUCCGGCUGAGCCGACCGUCUCUAAGCGUUGUGGCACUUUAUGUUUCCGCUUCGGAGCUCGGGAGGUCUCGCGCCGUUAAACCCCCCAUCAAAGGUUGACCUCGGAUCAGGUAGGGAUACCCGCUGAACUUAAGCAUAUCAAUAAGCGGAGGA
rnacentral:misc_RNA from 1 species